rnacentral:rRNA from 1 species
GACGGAGGGUGCGAGCGUUAUUCGGAAUCAUUGGGCGUAAAGAGCGUGUAGGCGGCCGGUUAAGUCAGGUGUGAAAGCUCGGGGCUCAACCUCGGAAGUGCACUUGAAACUGGUCGGCUUGAGUUCGGGAGAGGGUAGCGGAAUUCCUGGUGUAGAGGUGAAAUUCGUAGAUAUCAGGAGGAACAUCGGUGGCGAAGGCGGCUACCUGGACCGAAACUGACGCUGAGACGCGAAAGCGUGGGGAGCAAACAGG